GACGAACGCUGGCGGCGUGCUUAACACAUGCAAGUCGAACGAAGUGGCGAACGGGUGAGUAACGCGUAAUCAACCUGCCCUUCAAAGGGGGACAACAGUUGGAAACGACUGCUAAUACCGCAUACUGAAGGAGGGGAUUGCGUCUGAUUAGCUAGUUGGGGGGGUAACGGCCCACCAAGUCGAUGAUCAGUAGGCGGUCUGGAAGGAGUGACGGCCACAUUGGGACUGGGACACGGCCCAGGCUGCUUCGGGAGGCAGCAGUGGGGAAUCUUCCGCAAUUGACGAAAGUCUGACGGAGCAACGCCGCGUGAGUGAUGACGGCCUUCGGGUUGGAAAGCUCUGUUAAGCGGGACGCGGUACCGGAAUAGAAAGCCACGGCUAACUACGUGCCAGCCGCCGCGGUAAUAC
rnacentral:rRNA from 1 species